UACGGAGGAUGCAAGCGUUAUCCGGAAUGAUUGGGCGUAAAGCGUCCGCAGGUGGCAAUGUAAGUCUGCUGUCAAAGCGUCUGGCUCAACCAGAUAAAGGCAGUGGAAACUACAUAGUUAGAGUAAGGUAGGGGUAGAGGGAAUUCCUGGUGUAGCGGUGAAAUGCGUAGAGAUCAGGAAGAACACCAGAGGCGAAGGCGGAUCGCUGGGCCAACACUGACGCUGAGACGCGAAAGCUAGGGUAGCAAACGGG
rnacentral:rRNA from 1 species